CCUACGGGAGGCAGCAGUGAGGAAUAUUGGUCAAUGGACGAGAGUCUGAACCAGCCAAGUAGCGUGAAGGAUGACUGCCCUAUGGGUUGUAAACUUCUUUUAUAUGGGAAUAAAACAGGGUAUGCAUACCCUCUGGUAUGUACCAUAUGAAUAAGGAUCGGCAAACUCCGUGCAAGCAGCCGCGGUAAGACGGAGGAUCCGAGAGUUACCCGGAUUUAUUGGGUUUAAAGGGAGCGUAGGUGGAUUGUAAAUUCAGUUGUGAAAGUUUGCGGUUCAACCGUAAAAUUGCAGUUGAAACUGGCAGUCUUGAGUACAGUAGAGGUGGGCGGAAUUCGUGGUGUAGCGGUGAAAUGCUUAGAUAUCACGAAGAACUCCGAUUGCGAAGGCAGCUCACUGGACUGCAACUGACACUGAUGCUCGAAAGUGUGGGUAUCAAACAGGAUUAGAUACCCGGGUAGUC
rnacentral:rRNA from 1 species